UGGGGAAUAUUGCACAAUGGAGGAAACUCUGAUGCAGCGACGCCGCGUGAGCGAUGAAGUAUUUCGGUAUGUAAAGCUCUAUCAGCAGGGAAGAUAAUGACGGUACCUGAGUAAGAAGCUCCGGCUAAAUACGUGCCAGCAGCCGCGGUAAUACGUAUGGAGCAAGCGUUAUCCGGAUUUACUGGGUGUAAAGGGAGUGUAGGCGGCUUUGCAAGUCAGAUGUGAAAGCCCGGGGCUCAACCCCGGGACUGCAUUUGAAACUGUGAAGCUGGAGUGUCGGAGAGGUAAGUGGAAUUCCUAGUGUAGCGGUGAAAUGCGUAGAUAUUAGGAAGAACACCAGUGGCGAAGGCGGAUUACUGGACGACAACUGACGGUGAGGCG
rnacentral:rRNA from 1 species